AUAAUAACGGCAGAUAUCCUACGGGUUUGUUGAUUGUUAAAUCGUAUCCCUAGCUGGUUUGUUUCGAACCGAGUUGAUAACCGUGCAAAACCUGUCUCGAAACGCAAUGAGAUGGUCUGAAUACUGCAGUAGGCAAGUCUGUUCGUAUAAUGCCGUUCUAAUGACUGUUUCGUAUUUUUCUUGCUAGUAACAGAAAUAAGACAGAAGAAUAAGAUUUAAGGAAUGGAUUCUAUCGAAAUGCGCAUGACUGAUAAAAAUACUUUUAACGUGAUUAGUUUUAAUGCCGAACAAGGAUCAUUGUUACUUUCUAAGUAGUAUAUCUUGAAGGACUUUACGUUAGGGGGCUCGAGGCUAGAUAGAAUGACCCCAUGUGGCGCGUAUCUGGUCGUAGCAGCAGUCUCGCGAAAAGGUCAGGUGACAUCAUCGAUCUUCGGGGAUCGCCCAGAGCUCUUGGAAGCCAGUCAAAGGUCAAAAUAAAGCAACCGAAGUAAAUGCGGCUAAACAGAAUCGGUUAUAUGAAUGAAGCCUUAAUAAAGCAAGGCUGCCGACCACUUUUGUCUAUUUUUCACACAUAAAGAGAUGCACGGUUUUCGCCUCUUACAUUGCAACAGCGUUACGAGGCAUGAUCGACUCCAUGGUAGAGCCACGCCCGAAAAAUCGAGCGGGUCCAAUCGAAGACGAGAUCACAGGUCGAUCACCUCUGUUUCCUUUCACAAGGAGAACCGAUUUCGAAGUCUGUGAUUAAAAGAGCGUGGAGCUGGGCUUGGGAAAGGAUACGACGACGACGUGGCGUAGGGGCGUGCUGUGGCUUUUACGAGUAGACGGGCGGCGGCAAGGCCACUUUUUUGACUCUGCAUAAAUAAUCAGAAUCCGAAGCUGUUAACGAUUCACAAUAUGAUAUCAAAUCGCUUGAUGAAAUUAUUGUAAGAUCUAUUUGACUGCAGUAACUUCACUCGAAAGUAGGUAAAUGCUAAAAUAAAUAAAAGAGCUGGUAUUGUGUUAAGGAAAUCAACCCUUAUAGAUAAAAACUAAAUGA